GAUGAACGCUGGCGGCGUGCUUAACACAUGCAAGUCGAACGGAAAGGCCCAAGCUUGCUUGGGUACUCGAGUGGCGAACGGGUGAGUAACACGUGGGUGAUCUGCCCUGCACUUCGGGAUAAGCCUGGGAAACUGGGUCUAAUACUGGAUAGGACCACUUCUUGGAUGUUGUGGUGGAAAGUUUUUUCGGUGUGGGAUGAGCUCGCGGCCUAUCAGCUUGUUGGUGGGGUAAUGGCCUACCAAGGCGUCGACGGGUAGCCGGCCUGAGAGGGUGUACGGCCACAUUGGGACUGAGAUACGGCCCAGACGCCUACGGGAGGCAGCAGUGGGGAAGAUUGCACAAGGGGCGCAAGCCUGAUGCAGCGACGCCGCGUGGGGGAUGACGGCCUUCGGGUUGUAAACUCCUUUCGCUAGGGACGAAGCGUUUUGUGACGGUACCUGGAGAAGAAGCACCGGCUAACUACGUG
rnacentral:rRNA from 1 species